rnacentral:rRNA from 1 species
GGGCAACCUGCCCUGCAGACUGGGAUAACUUCGGGAAACCGGAGCUAAUACCGGAUAACACCGAAAACCGCAUGGUUUUCGGUUGAAAGGCGGCUUUUAGCUGUCACUGCAGGAUGGGCCCGCGGCGCAUUAGCUAGUUGGUGAGGUAACGGCUCACCAAGGCGACGAUGCGUAGCCGACCUGAGAGGGUGACCGGCCACACUGGGACUGAGACACGGCCCAAACUCCUACGGGAGGCAGCAGUAGGGAAUCUUCCGCAAUGGACGAAAGUCUGACGGAGCAACGCCGCGUGAGCGAAGAAGGUCUUCGGAUCGUAAAGCUCUGUUGUCAGGGAAGAACAAGUACCGUUCGAACAGGGCGGUACCUUGACGGUACCUGACGAGGAAGCCACGGCUAACUACGUGCCAGCAGCCGCGGUAAUACGUAGGUGGCAAGCGUUGUCCGGAAUUAUUGGGCGUAAAGCGCGCGCAGGCGGUUCCUUAAGUCUGAUGUGAAAUCUCGCGGCUCAACC